rnacentral:tRNA from 1 species
GGAAAAGUUUUCAUUAGGUAAGUUAAAAUGAUUGCUAAUUGUUGAGGAAAACUCUUAGGGGUUCGAAUCCCCUCUUUUCCG